CGGAAGCGGAAACGAAAGAGCUGGCGGAAAUUGUGGUUCUCGCUGUCCUGUGGGAGCGAGCCGGUGCUUUCUCAUAAACUUCAAGUACUCACAGUAGCGGAUAGUGGUGUUUUGCAAGCAGUAUGCAGAUACGUGACUGAAGGACUGCCCUCCGUCACAGGCGACAACAGAGAAGUGGCAGAAUACCGGAAUGGGUUGGCCACCAGGAGGAAGGAUCUGAAGGAAUGCAGCAUAGAUGUCGGGCCAAAUAGCUCCCCUCGGUGCAUGCGCAAUUGAACUCUUGCCUUCUUUCUUUUUGCUACCCGUAUAUCUCUGAACUGUAAAUAAAUGGUUGCUUUUGCCGUAUGA